rnacentral:lncRNA from 1 species
ACGUUUCUCAGUCUCGCGAGAUUUCUUUUCUUCCUCCUUCUCUGUUUCUAAAUUUUCUUUGUUUUCAAAACCCACAAACACUAAAAACCUUCACUUUUCUUCUAGAUCUAAGCUUUGUUUCGAGAAGUGACAUAAGAGAAAGUUGCUCAUUGCCACGCUGCGGUGCUAGUGAGCUAGUUUUUUUCGCGACAUCACGGACUUAAAUUUUACCGGAAUUAAUUACGGUACCGUAAUCGCGUGUUAGAGCUAUCGUUAAGGUAAGAGCUCCUUCCAAACUUUUAGUUUGCAU